rnacentral:rRNA from 1 species
UACGAAGGGGGCUAGCGUUGCUCGGAAUCACUGGGCGUAAAGGGUGCGUAGGCGGGUUUUUAAGUCAGAGGUGAAAUCCUGGAGCUCAACUCCAGAACUGCCUUUGAUACUGAGAGCUUGAGUCCGGGAGAGGUGAGUGGAACUGCGAGUGUAGAGGUGAAAUUCGUAGAUAUUCGCAAGAACACCAGUGGCGAAGGCGGCUCACUGGCCCGGUACUGACGCUGAGAUGCGAAAGCGUGGGGAGCAAACAGG